AAGUCGUAACAAGGUCUCCGUAGGUGAACCUGCGGAGGGAUCAUUAACACGUAAUCUCACGAUUACAAACCAAACAAAACACGUGCUCUAAAACCAUUGUUGUUCAAGGAUCGAGGUAUGUUCGAGAUGAUUGGGUAAAGAGCUCUCGUCAUGCUAUACCAAAUCUUUCCAUUUGAAUGACACCCCUUAUAAUUCUUCUCUUUUGCCCAACUUAACCCCAUUAACCCCUUUUUUUAUUUAAUUCUUACUGAUUACAAUCAUUCGCGGCCGAAAGGCGGAAUGAGGUUUCUACGAAACCAUUAGCACAACUCUUAGCAGUGGAUAUCUUGGCUCCCGU
rnacentral:misc_RNA from 1 species